rnacentral:rRNA from 1 species
UUUUAUGGAGAGUUUGAUCCUGGCUCAGGAUGAACGCUGGCGGCGUGCCUAAUACAUGCAAGUCGAGCGAACGGACGAGAAGCUUGCUUCUCUGAUGUUAGCGGCGGACGGGUGAGUAACACGUGGAUAACCUACCUAUAAGACUGGGAUAACUUCGGGAAACCGGAGCUAAUACCGGAUAAUAUUUUGAACCGCAUGGUUCAAAAGUGAAAGACGGUCUUGCUGUCACUUAUAGAUGGAUCCGCGCUGCAUUAGCUAGUUGGUAAGGUAACGGCUUACCAAGGCAACGAUGCAUAGCCGACCUGAGAGGGUGAUCGGCCACACUGGAACUGAGACACGGUCCAGACUCCUACGGGAGGCAGCAGUAGGGAAUCUUCCGCAAUGGGCGAAAGCCUGACGGAGCAACGCCGCGUGAGUGAUGAAGGUCUUCGGAUCGUAAAACUCUGUUAUUAGGGAAGAACAUAUGUGU